rnacentral:rRNA from 1 species
GCUCAACCGGGGAGGGUCAUUGGAAACUGGGGAACUUGAGUGCAGAAGAGGAGAGUGGAAUUCCACGUGUAGCGGUGAAAUGCGUAGAGAUGUGGAGGAACACCAGUGGCGAAGGCGACUCUCUGGUCUGUAACUGACGCUGAGGCGCGAAAGCGUGGGGAGCGAACAGGAUUAGAUACCCUGGUAGUCCACGCCGUAAACGAUGAGUGCUAAGUGUUAGAGGGUUUCCGCCCUUUAGUGCUGCAGCAAACGCAUUAAGCACUCCGCCUGGGGAGUACGGUCGCAAGACUGAAACUCAAAGGAAUUGACGGGGGCCCGCACAAGCGGUGGAGCAUGUGGUUUAAUUCGAAGCAACGCGAAGAACCUUACCAGGUCUUGACAUCCUCUGACAACCCUAGAGAUAGGGCUUCCCCUUCGGGGGCAGAGUGACAGGUGGUGCAUGGUUGUCGUCAGCUCGUGUCGUGAGAUGUUGGGUUAAGUCCCGCAACGAGCGCAACCCUUGAUCUUAGUUGCCAGCAUUCAGUUGGGCACUCUAAGGUGACUGCCGGUGACAAGCCGGAGGAAGGUGGGGAUGACGUCAAAUCAUCAUGCCCCUUAUGACCUGGGCUACACACGUGCUACAAUGGGCAGAACAAAG